UACAGAGGUCUCAAGCGUUGUUCGGAUUCAUUGGGCGUAAAGGGCGCGUAGGCGGCCGACCAAGUCGGAUGUGAAAUCCCUCGGCUCAACCGAGGAACUGCACUCGAUACUGGUUGGCUAGAGUCCGGGAGGGGAUGGUGGAAUUCCCAGUGUAGCGGUGAAAUGCGUAGAUAUUGGGAAGAACACCGGUGGCGAAGGCGGCCAUCUGGACCGGUACUGACGCUGAGGCGCGAAAGCCAGGGGAGCGAAUGGG
rnacentral:rRNA from 1 species